rnacentral:tRNA from 1 species
GUGGAUGUAGCUCAACGGCAGAGCACCGGAUUGUGGUUCCGGUGGUUGGGGGUUCGAGUCCCCUCAUCCACC